AGAACGAACGUUGGCGGCGUGGAUUAGGCAUGCAAGUCGAACGAAUCCCGGUAGCAAUAUCGGGGGAAGUGGCGAAAGGGGCAGUAAGGCAUGGGUAACCUACCCUGGGGACUGGGAUAGCCUUUCUAACGAGAGGGUAAUACCGGGCGAUGUAACGAGAGGGCAUCUUCUUGUUACGAGAUGAAUUUCGCCUCGGGAGGGGCUCAUGUAGUAUUAGCUAGUUGGUAGGGUAACGGCCUACCAAGGCUGAGAUGCUUAGCGGGUGUGAGAGCACGACCCGCGCCACUGGCACUGAGACACUGGCCAGACUCCUACGGGAGGCUGCAGUCGAGGAUCUUCGGCAAUGGGCGCAAGCCUGACCGAGCGACGCCGCGUGGACGACGAAGGCCUUCGGGUUGUAAAGUCCUUUAGUGGGGAGAAAGCCGUAAGGUUGAUCUAUCCCAAGAAUAAGCACGGCUAAGUUCGUGCCAGCAGCCGC
rnacentral:rRNA from 1 species